CGGUGAGUAAUAACAAGUGGGGCAAAACUACGAUUUUGAUUUAAGGGUGGUCAUGAUUGCCCACGAAGACCUGAUUCCAAUCAAGCGCUAGAAACUUAGUGCAGGAAUAUUUGAUGAAAUCAUCACAUUAGUAGGUCAGAGCGAUCGCAGAUAUUUUUACAAAGACCAAACCGUUGGCCUGAUCGUGUUUGACUAAAAACGACACUAUGACGUAACAGACUGGGAGUCAUGUGUAUCCGGAGUAAAAGUUGACCAAUAUCAUUUUUAUGGCAUUGGAAUGUUUACACAAGUGGCUCAAGAGAAUAUAACUGACUAACAUUAUAGUCCUUUUGAGAUUGUCAAAUUCUUGAUGCGGUCGUCAAACAGAGCAUCCAAAUAUGAACUGGUCGCCUUGGCUACUGAGGAAAGUCCUAUGCUGUAUUCCAAAAUCAAAUCCCAGCCUAUGAUAAAGGCGCAGAGUUCACCCAUGAUUGAGUAGCUGUAAGCGUAAACCGAGCCUGCCUUAGGCACACGGCAACCAAACUCUGCGUAGCACAAACCAGCUAGGACUGAGGCAGAAGCGGCGAUGAAGUACGAAACUACCACACUUGGGCCAGUGAACUUGCGGGCAAUUUCAGGGGUUAAAACGUACAACCCAGCUCCUAUGGUAAUCCCGACUCCGAGAAGAGUCAAGUCAAAGAUGCCGAGACAACGGUUCAAUUGAGUCACCAUCAUGGUUUUCGGAUCGCGGAAUUUUUUUCGAGAAAAGGUUUCGCGCCAGGAUGCCAUGGACACUGAUUGUCACUGUGUUCCCCGAUCUGAAGUUUAAAAAUAGCAAUUAACGCCUGAAUCACCAAGGAAAACUUUCAAAGUGUUUCUUUUUAUAACUUUAUCAAUACACGGUUCAAUGAUAUUUUGUGAAUCGAGAUAUUUCUUCCCGAGCUGUAAUUCGUGUCUCGCAAGGGGCAACUUUAAAUUACUUACAUCAGUUUUAAGAACCGCUCCCGUCUUGAUCUCUUUCGCGAAACUGUAGCCGAGCCCUGAUUUCUUUUUGCAAGGAUCAGGAGGAAGUCCUAGGGAUUUGUUUUUUCCGUAAAGUAUAGAGGGUUAUGUCCUAAACUGUUGAAUUGUAUCGUGUGAUUUAACUUAAGUUAACAUGGGUAACGUAAGCUUACAUGUGACAUGAUUUGAGCAAGUCAUAAGAUCGCCGUAAGGCAAAUUAUUUUCCGGGAAAUUUACUUCACAAAUAUAUCACAAGGACAAUUUCCUGAUCGUUGGCAAAUUUAGUCACUGAACCUCGACCGCAAUAAUAUAUUUUCGUGUUGAUUGUUGGUUAGGAGGGUUAAAAUUUAUUUAAAUUGGUCAACUUCUUCCUUGAUGACAUCUUUCUUGAUGUUGCUGUACGUCUGUUCAGUUAACCCUUCAACCCCUAAUCUAAUUUCUUCCUACAAUUUCACCUCUGAAUAGGUAAUCACAUGAUUUCGAUUGCAAUUUGGAAUAAAUAACUCGAAUAAAUUUUUUCAGACUAACAAAAUUGCACUCGCCCUACAGGCUCGUGCAAUUUUUGGUCCUUGAAAAAAUUAACAAAUGCUUAUUUAUUCCAAACUGCACGAGAAAAAUCAUGUGAUUACGUAUUAAUAAUGUACAUGAAAAAAUACGAGAUAGCUUGUCAUAAUUAUGCAGAAGCAAAGCGCGCGCAUUAAGUGCAAAAAUAAUUUAUUGAAACCUGUGCAUUCGGUCAGAACAACCGCGUACGAUCAAAACAGCAAUAUACAAAGAAAUGAUAUUUUCACAUCUUUAAGGCGCAAAAAAGUCCAAAGUCUGCAGCGUGGCCAAAUGUGGCGACAUCCAAGGCUCCCAUUUGAUUGGCUAUCUGUGAGUUUCUUUGAUUAUUGAUCAAUCAGAAUGUCUGGUUUGUUACCUCCUUGGCACAGAAUUAACCCUACUCUGCAUUGAAUUACCUGAAAACUGCAUUUAUCUUAACCAAUCAGAACCGAGUAAUGUUUUCAUGUAUAAUAUUAGAGA